UAAAGAAGUGUCUACAUGGAACCUGGGGU
rnacentral:piRNA from 1 species